UGAGGAAUAUUGCGCAAUGGGGGAAACCCUGACGCAGCAACGCCGCGUGGGUGAAGAAGGCCUUCGGGUCGUAAAGCCCUUUCGGACGGGACGAAAGUUCCGCGGGGAUAAUCCGCGGAGCCUGACGGUACCGUAGGAAGAAGCACCGGCUAACUCCGUGCCAGCAGCCGCGGUAAUACGGAGGGUGCAAGCGUUGUUCGGAAUUACUGGGCGUAAAGCGCGUGUAGGCGGCCUUGUAAGUCAGAUGUGAAAGCCCUCGGCUCAACCGGGGAAGUGCAUCUGAAACGGCAAGGCUUGAGUACGGGAGAGGGAGGCGGAAUUCCCAGUGUAGAGGUGAAAUUCGUAGAUAUUGGGAGGAACACCGGUGGCGAAAGCGGCCUCCUGGACCGAUACUGACGCUGAGACGCGAAAGCGUGGGGAGCAAGCAGGAUUAGAUACCCUGGUAGUCCACGCGGUAAACGAUGGGCACUAGGUGUGGGGGGUAUCCACUCCUCCCGUGCCGCAGCUAACGCAUUAAGUGCCCCGCCUGGGGAGUACGGCCGCAAGGCUA
rnacentral:rRNA from 1 species